AGAGUUUGAUCCUGGCUCAGAACGAACGCUGGCGGCGCGUCUUAACCAUGCAAGUCGAGCGGCAGGCAGCAAUGCCGAGAGCGGCGGACUGGUGAGUAACACGUGGAUAACGAACCCCGAUGCCCGGGACAGCCUGUAGAAAUAGAGGGUAAUACCGGAUAGAUCACUGUUUACGGAAGGUAGACAGCGGGAAAGGAGCUUCGGCUCCGCGACGGGAUCGGUCUGCGGCCCAUCAGCUGGACGGCGGGGUAAAGGCCCGCCGUGGCGAGGACGGGUAUCCGGCCUGAGAGGGCGGACGGACACAUUGGGACUGAGAUACGGCCCAGACUCCUACGGGAGGCAGCAGGUAAGAAUAUUCCGCAAUGGGGGGAACCCUGACGGAGCGACGCCGCGUGAACGAAGAAGGCCGGAAGGUUGUAAAGUUCUUUUCUGUCCGAGGAAUAAGUGUAGGAGGAAAUGCCUGCAUGGUGACGGUAGGGCAGGAAUAAGCACCGGCUAAUUACGUGCCAGCAGCCGCGGUAACACGUAAGGUGCGAGCGUUGUUCGGAAUUAUUGGGCGUAAAGGGCAUGCAGGCGGGUCGCCAAGCUUGGUAAGAAAUACCGGGGCUCAACUCCGGAGCUAUAUUGAGAACUGGCGAGCUAGAGUUGCCGAAGGGUAUCCGGAAUUCCGCGUGAAGGGGUGAAAUCUGUAGAUAUGCGGAAGAACACCGAUGGCGAAGGCAGGAUACCGGCGGACGACUGACGCUGAGGUGCGAAGGUGCGGGGAGCAAACAGGAUUAGAUACCCUGGUAGUCCGCACAGUCAACGAUGUACACUGGGCGUGUGCGCAAGAGCGUGCGUGCCGAAGCAAACGCGAUAAGUGUACCGCCUGGGGAGUAUGCCCGCAAGGGUGAAAC
rnacentral:rRNA from 1 species